rnacentral:misc_RNA from 1 species
UCCCCGUUAUCCGAGGCAGUGUGCAGUGUAAAAAUAACACGGCAUAGGGGUUGCGCUCGUUAUCCCACUUAAGGGUACACCUCACGGCACGAGCUGACGACAGCCAUGCAUCACCUGUCCUACACCCUCGAAGGCUUCCUAGCUUUCGCUAGGCGUGCAGUAGGAUUUCUAACCUUGGUAAGGUUCUUCGCUUAGCGACGAAUUAAGCCACACGCUCCACCACUUGUGCAAGCCCCCGUCUAUUCCUUUGAGUUUUAACCUUGCGGUCGUACUACCCAGGCGGAUAACUUAACGCGUUAGCUUCGACUCGGAGAGGGUCGAUACUCCCCAAAUCCAGUUAUCAUCGUUUAGGGCGUGGACUA